CACGUAGGGUCCGAGCGUUGUCCGGAUUUACUGGGCGUAAAGAGCGCGCAGGCGGUCGAUCAAGUCGAGUGUGAAAGCCCCCGGCUCAACUGGGGAGGGUCAUUCGAUACUGAUCGACUCGAAGGCAGGAGAGGGUAGUGGAAUUCCCGGUGUAGUGGUGAAAUGCGUAGAUAUCGGGAGGAACACCAGUGGCGAAGGCGACUACCUGGCCUGUUCUUGACGCUGAGGCGCGAAAGCUAGGGGAGCAAACGGG
rnacentral:rRNA from 1 species